rnacentral:rRNA from 1 species
UACGAAGGGGGCUAGCGUUGCUCGGAAUUACUGGGCGUAAAGGGCGCGUAGGCGGCACUGUUAGUCAGGCGUGAAAGUCCUGGGCUCAACCUGGGAACUGCGCUUGAUACGGCAGAGCUAGAGGAUGGAAGAGGCUCGCGGAAUUCCCAGUGUAGAGGUGAAAUUCGUAGAUAUUGGGAAGAACACCGGUGGCGAAGGCGGCGAGCUGGACCAUUACUGACGCUGAGGAGCGAAAGCCAGGGGAGCAAACGGG